AACAGCCACGGUUAUGAAAUCACUAAGACCUUUGGUGGUAAAUUCACCUUAAUUUCCCCAGUUUGGCUUCAGAUCCAGAGGAAGGGAGUUCAGCUUUAUUACGUCACUGGCCACCACGACAUAGACCAAGGGUGGAUGAAGAAUGUGAAAGCAGAAUUUGAAGCAGUCCGUUUUGUACCCCGGAUUUUGUUUGAUUCCUGGACAUACCGUGACUAUGAAAGUCUUUUUAACAGCGAGGAUGAAAUCGAAGAGCUCUCAGAAGCGUUGGUGCAGACAGCACAGG